UCCAGACUCCUACGGGAGGCAGCAGUGGGGAAUAUUGCACAAUGGGGGAAACCCUGAUGCAGCAACGCCGCGUGAGUGAAGAAGUAUUUCGGUAUGUAAAGCUCUAUCAGCAGGGAAGAAGAUGACGGUACCUGAAUAAGAAGCCCCGGCUAACUACGUGCCAGCAGCCGCGGUAAUACGUAGGGGGCAAGCGUUAUCCGGAUUUACUGGGUGUAAAGGGAGCGUAGACGGCAUGGCAAGUCAGAUGUGAAAGCCCGGGGCUCAACCCCGGGACUGCAUUUGAAACUGUCAGGCUGGAGUGCAGGAGAGGUAAGUGGAAUUCCUAGUGUAGCGGUGAAAUGCGUAGAUAUUAGGAGGAACACCAGUGGCGAAGGCGGCUUACUGGACUGUAACUGACGUUGAGGCUCGAAGGCGUGGGGAGCAAACAGGAUUAGAUACCCUGGUAU
rnacentral:rRNA from 1 species